rnacentral:rRNA from 1 species
GACAGCAGUAGCCGCGGUAAUACGUAGGUGGCAAGCGUUGUCCGGAUUUAUUGGGCGUAAAGCGAGCGCAGGCGGUUUCUUAAGUCUGAUGUGAAAGCCCCCGGCUCAACCGGGGAGGGUCAUUGGAAACUGGGAAACUUGAGUGCAGAAGAGGAGAGUGGAAUUCCAUGUGUAGCGGUGAAAUGCGUAGAUAUAUGGAGGAACACCAGUGGCGAAGGCGGCUCUCUGGUCUGUAACUGACGCCGAGGCUCGAAAGCGUGGGGAGCAAACAGGAUUAGAUACCCCAGUAGUCCCUGUCUCUUAUAC